UCAGGAUGAACGCUAGCGGCAGGCUUAACACAUGCAAGUCGAGGGGCAUCGGGAGUAGCAAUACUGCCGGCGACCGGCGCAAGGGUGCGUAACGCGUGAGCAACAUGCCCGUAUCAGGGGGAUAAUCCAUGGAAACGUGGUCUAAUACCCCAUAGUAAUUAUGUAAGGCAUCUUAUAUAAUUUAAAGCUUUGGUGGAUACGGAUUGGCUCGCGUGACAUUAGCUAGAUGGUAAGGUAACGGCUUACCAUGGCUACGAUGUCUAGGGGUUCUGAGAGGAAGGUCCCCCACACUGGAACUGAGACACGGUCCAGACUCCUACGGGAGGCAGCAGUGAGGAAUAUUGGACAAUGGAUGGAAAUCUGAUCCAGCCAUGCCGCGUGCCAGGAAGACGGCCCUAUGGGUUGUAAACUGCUUUUGUAUGGGAGCAAUAAGGGCUACGCGUAGUCCGAUGAGAGUACCAUACGAAUAAGCACCGGCUAACUCCGUGCCAGCCGCGGC
rnacentral:rRNA from 1 species